UGCAAGUGGCUCCACAAUCCACCUGGAUCUUAUAGGUCUUUACUCUAGGAUCAUUGCUGCAAAUAUAGCUGAGUUGAAACAACAGUGUUGGAAGAUGCUUCUUCUGAAUGUGGUGGUUUGAUCCGUAAGUGCCAAGAACCCUUCAUGGCAGAUGGGUGGAGUGUGCAAUUCAACUCCAUCUACAGACAGUUACAAAAUAAGGGACCAGGCACCUAAGAAAGAAGCAUCCCAGGGAAUGCCCUCCACAGCAGAGUGGCAGACGGUAACAUCCAGGACCAGAGCAGCUCGCAGCGAACCGGUACCAGUUCCAGCAGUCCAACUGGAGAACAGGUCAAGAGAUCCACGUGGACCCAGAGGAGGAGGCGAUGAGUGCUCGUCAUAGGCGACUCUAUCCUAAGAGUGAACGGACGUGGAAGACAGCAUGAGAACUGCAUUAGAGAGACCAACUGGCGGCUUCGGCAGUGGUGUCUCAAGGCAGGCUUCGGCUUCCUGGACAACGACCCGCACAUCACGACGAGGGACAUGCUCAGUUGGGAUGGGCUUCACCUGUCCCCCAAAGGUAAGCGUGUG